GAAGGUCAUCGUCUCCUGCGGUUUUCGCCCCCCCCCUACCGUGGUUUCGCCCCUCUCCUGGUUUCGCUCCGGCUCCGCACACACACCUUGGACUCCUCGUUGCCGGAGCUGAGCACUCCCAUCAGCACGCCCAUCAGCGCCGCACUUCUCCUCGUAGCCGCCGCCGAGCACGCCCGCCGCCAGCCCUCUCCGCCGGAGACGUUCUCUGAGCACGCCCGCCGCCGCGCCCACCGUAACCCGACGCCCGCGCCCUCGCCCUCGCCCGACGCCCGAGCCCGACCUUGUCUGGAGAUUCGCCCUCGCCCUCGCCCCUGACGCCGUCGCCCUCGCCCUCGCCCUCGCCUGACGCCCGACCUGUGUUGCCAGGUCUGGAGAGUCGCCCUCGCCCGACGCCCGACGCCGAGCCCAACCUGCGUUGCCAGGUCUUGGAGUCACAUCCGCAUCACAUGCUCUCCUCCGUCCCCCCCCUCCCGCCGCCGACCCAGCCCCUGCAAGGCCUCUCCUCCCACGACGACUACAGCGACGACGGCGCGAUCCGGGGCACCUGUCUCCACUGCCUCCAUUGUCUGCGAUCCGUGAGAUCCCCGUGAUGGACCUCCUCCCACGCGCUGCAAGAGGAGAGCGGAGGAGUGCGCAGAUCCCAGCGGAGAUCUGAAUCCUGUGUCACUGCCAUCGCCUCAGCAGGUUGAGAACGCCGUGGCCAGUAUCACGAUGCCAUCUGCUACUAACAUCUCUCCCGUGGCCAGCAACCAAGCGGAAGAGUGCAGCCCUCUCGGCAGCAACGCGUGCUCCUUCCUGCUCAAGCUGAUGGUGAGGAGAACCAAAACUGAUGCCAAGGAGAACCAUAAUUCUGAGUUUGACACUUUAUUUUCUGGAAGCGGUGGCAAUGAUGGGAGUCACGGGAAUAUCAAGGUACUUGUUUCUCAAGCUACUCAGACCUAAGAUAAUUUGGUUCAUUUACUAAAUUAUUUAUUUUGAUAUACUCUAACUAAUAGCUGAAAUGUGCGCACUCAAGAAGCUUGGAGAUGAAAUGCUAAGAGGCAUUCUCAUACACUAUCAGCAUAUAUAUAAUCCUGUAUUUUCUGGCCAAACUUUUAUAUCUUAUUUAUCCUUCUUUGUAUACCUUCUAUACUAUCUCUCAAUGAACUAAUUAUUAAUUAUUGUAAAUUCUUUCUAACAAAAUUGUAUUUUUUUUUUGUUUGAGUUGGUUCAGUAUAUAUUUGUAACUCGCACAUGUCUUAGAAAGUCACCCUUUAGAGCGAGGAUGUCAAGCUGGUCGCUGUCAAUGACCCUUUCAUCCCCACAGAUUACAUGUCUCAACCCAUGGUGACAAGAGGAGCCUCUUUGUGACAGGGAGCACCUGCUCCACCACGCCCUCUCCUUCGAUGAGGCAGGGACCCCGUGCCUAGGGGGGUCAUGGCAGAGGUGCUGCUCCGGCUCAGGCCCCGCAGAGUCAUGGCCGCUACGGGGUUAGAUGCGACUGGCAGGACUGCGCCGCCCAAGUCUGAAGGGCAACCGAGGAGCUCCGCUGCCGCGCCCUCGCCUUCUCAGCACGCUGCUCCUGUGGGGAUGGGCGGCGAUGAGCCACUGUUGCUGCGGCAGUGAGGGUUUGCUUGUUGCAGAGGCCUUGGUGCUCGCUGAGGACAAUAAGUACCCAUCACCCAAGAGAUGAGCGGUGUGUUAGUGUGGAGAUGACGUCUUAUUGUGUAGAUGCUCGUUGAUGAGACGAGCGCCGCUUGAGCUGCCCAUCUUUGCAACGCUCUGCAUUGUGAAGUUCAAUAUCAGGCUGGCUAACUUCAAUUGAUUUGGGUUGGCUAACUUAAGUGGAGACGCUUGUCUUAUGGAGAAGAACAUUAGACAGAUUUUUUGCUUGAGGGUGAUAAAUUUCAUCGAGAAGAACAUUGGGAGGCACUGAUUUUUGCUACUGGGAGAAACUUAGAAUUAUUUUUAUGGGGCCCUAAGGGAUGAGAAUCCAUUACUCUAGGAUAUGUAUGUCAUUGUGAUGAAACAAUCUGAGUACAUAGAUAUGCCAAGACAGUUCCAUUCAAGUACUGUACUGUUGGUCUCUGGAUACAUACAACUAUGGAGGCUGGCCAUCGUGCUGCAGAUCAACCAAAUUCAACAUAGAUAAGGUGCAAGCUUCUCAAACUUUUUCAGAAUGAGAUGUAUGGGUUUCUAUUAGAUGCUCUUCUACUUUGUUGUCUGAGUUGCUGAAUAAAAUUUUCAAUGGAAUUUGCAACAUUUCUGUUACUGUUUUAAAAUUAAGUGAUGCUCCAUCUCUUCUGUUUGGUGUUUGUAGCUAAAGAAAGUGUGAAUCUCUUCUUUCAAAAGGUGGAUUUAUUCGCGCAUGAAAAAAUGAAUAUUGUAGAUUUUUUCGUGUCGAUUUUAAAACAUUAUCUUAUCCACAUUACAUAAAAGGUUCAUACAGUAGAGUUUGUAAGUCUGUGACGCCACGCUCUCUGUGACUAUGUUAAUUCUAUAAACUUUAUUUUAUAGAUAAAAUAUCACUUUAAUUUAGUAUUUAUUUUUUAUAAUAUUGUUAUCUUAUCGUGCGAUCUAUUUAGUAUAAACUAUUAGCUAUCCCGUAGCAAUGCACGGGCACGCUACCUAGUUAUAGUAAAAUUGUGCAAUUAGUUAUUUUUUUAUCUAUAUUUAAUACUUUAUGCAUACGUCCAAAGAUUCGAUGUGAUGAUGAAUAUUAUAAACUUUUGGAAUUUUAGUGCAUCUAAACAAGGCCUAAGCAUAUGAAAUCAACAAGAAUAAAAUAUUAAAUGGGAGAGAGAAAAAAAAAACACAAAUUCCCGUGCGUUCUUUUUUCCGCCGUCUGCUUCCCCUUCCGUCCGCUUCCCUCGUCCUCCUUCCCUCCUCCUGUCUCUCUCUCUCGCUACCCUCUCGCUCCCAGAGGACUGUUGGGCCACCGCCGCGCUAGGCCAGGUGCUGAGGCUUUCCUUGGUUUCUUCGCCGGCGACGAGCCGACGAGCACCCACCAGGUUGCUGUUGGCAUUGAUGUUAAUUCUUCUUAGAGCAGAGCACUGCAAUAAAAUUGACAGGCACAAUGUCAACCAUGCAUCUCUCCGUGGAUUGCAGUCGAGAAGAAAUGGUUUUAUGAUGUCAAGGAUGACGAUUCUCUUCAUGGAUUGCAAUAUGCUUUGUAUAUUGGAGGGGCAGGAUUUUACUGCAACUCCGAAGUCUAAACGGGCGCACCAGUAACCAGAAAUUAUAUCGAAGUAAAUUCAUAAAAGCAUGCCGACUGUUAUUUUUGUUGUAAAUCUUUUGCGUACAGCUGUAACAAGGCUUGAUUGUUCGUCCAGAAUUUCAGAUGUCCUCGAGUCUUACCUUUGUUAUCAUUGUGCCAUUUUUUUUUUGAAAGAAAGAAAGCACAGAUACAGUGUGCAUUUAAUUC